GUUUGUUUGUUAUGUUCAAACAAUGUUUUUUGUUUUGAUUUCUAUUUAGUUUUUCACAACGAAAGGUUAUGAUUUUCCUAUACAUUUCCACAUCAGAGGAUGUUUCGUAGUAGAGAGGACAUUAGAAAGAGGAUGUUAUCGAGACAAACGGAUCAUUAAUCGACAGAGAGGUGUUUUGUCUAACUUCUUCAAAGAAAUAAUUUCUUCGCAAAUCGGAGAAGUUGAUGCAAAAUUUUGCGUAAAUGAAGCCAACAACUUAAGUACAUGGGGCUUUAAUGCGUCAAAAGAAUACUUAUUGCAGGGUUUUGUCAUGUGCUUGUUGUGUUAUGGUUGUAUUCUUUAUACAAUUUAAAUUUUUACAUAAUUGUAAAUCAGACAGGUCAUUUGUGGUAAUUUAAAAUGGUACAUAACAUGACAGGGAGAAACCUCUGUAAAAAUCAGCUGAACGUUUUAAUCACAUUCUAUUAUUGAGGAAUAUUAGGCUUCUCAAUGAUCAGAACUGGAGUUCAUUAAACUGUUAUAAAACUAGAAAAAAAAAUUCCGAUCAAAUGUGUGGUUCAAGAUUUUAUAUUUUUGUCAAAUAUUUAUGAAAAUUAAAUGAGCAAAAUAAUUUUAGUCAA